CCAAUAGCGUAUAUUAAAGUUGCUGCAGUUAAAAAGCUCGUAGUUGAAUUUCGGGACCAUCAUGUCGGUCGUGCCUCGGUACGUACUGGUAUUGUUGGUUUCUCCCUUCUGAUGAACCAUGAUGUCAUUUAUUUGGUGUUGUGGGGAAUCAGGACUGUUACUUUGAAAAAAUUAGAGUGUUUAAAGCAGGCUCACGCUUGAAUACAUUAGCAUGGAAUAAUGAAAUAGGACGUUUGAUUCUAUUUUGUUGGUUUCUAGGAUCGACGUAAUGAUUAAUAGGGAUAGUUGGGGGCAUUAGUAUUCAAUUGUCAGAGGUGAAAUUCUUGGAUUUAUUGAAGACUAACUACUGCGAAAGCAUUUGCCAAGGAUGUUUUCAUUAAUCAAGAACGAAAGUUAGGGGAUCGAAGACGAUCAGAUACCGUCGUAGUCUUAACCAUAAACUAUGCCGACUAGGGAUCGGAUGAUGUUAAUUUUUUAAUGACUCAUUCGGCGCCUUACG
rnacentral:rRNA from 1 species